GAGCGCGCCUUCGGAGUGAGCGGCGUACGGGUUAGUAACGCGUGGAGAACAGUGCCCUAUCUACUACGUGAAUAGACCUCUGGAAAACGGAGAGUAAUACCGUAUACGCCCUAUUGGUGGGAAAGAUUAAUACGGAGAAGGAUCGGCCCGCGUUCGAUUAGGUAGUUGGUAGAGGUAACGGUCUACCAAGCCUACGAACUAUAACUGGUAACAGAGGAUGAUCAGCAACACUGGGACUGAGCCACGGACCAAAAUCCCUAACAGAGGACGACAAUGGCGGCAAUCUUAGAACACAAGGAG
rnacentral:rRNA from 1 species